CACGAACGCUGGCGGCGUGCUUAACACAUGCAAGUCGAACGGAAAGGCCCUUCGGGGUACUCGAGUGGCGAACGGGUGAGUAACACGUGGGUGAUCUGCCCUGCACUUUGGGAUAAGCCUGGGAAACUGGGUCUAAUACCGACUAUGAUCAUCAGCUUCAUGGUUGGUGGUGGAAAGCUUUUGCGGUGUGGGAUGGGCCCGCGGCCUAUCAGCUUGUUGGUGGGGUAAUGGCCUACCAAGGCGACGACGGGUAGCCGGCCUGAGAGGGUGACCGGCCACACUGGGACUGAGAUACGGCCCAGACUCCUACGGGAGGCAGCAGUGGGGAAUAUUGCACAAUGGGCGCAAGCCUGAUGCAGCGACGCCGCGUGAGGGAUGACGGCCUUCGGGUUGUAAACCUCUUUCAGCACAGACGAAGCGCAAGUGACGGGAUGUGCAGAAGAAGGACCGGCCAACUACGUGCCAGCCGCCGCCGUAAAAC
rnacentral:rRNA from 1 species